CCUACGGGUGGCAGCAGUGGGGGAUAUUGGGCAAUGGGCGCAAGCCUGACCCAGCAACGCCGCGUGAAGGAAGAAGGCUUUCGGGUUGUAAACUUCUUUUGUCAGGGAAGAGUAGAAGACGGUACCUGACGAAUAAGCCACGGCUAACUACGUGCCAGCAGCCGCGGAAAUACGUAGGUGGCAAGCGUUGUCCGGAUUUACUGGGUGUAAAGGGCGUGUAGCCGGGUUGACAAGUCAGAUGUGAAAUCCCGCGGCUUAACCGCAGAACUGCAUUUGAAACUGUUGAUCUUGAGUACUGGAGAGGCAGACGGAAUUCCUAGUGUAGCGGUGAAAUGCGUAGAUAUUAGGAGGAACACCAGCGGCGAAGGCGGUCUGCUGGACAGCAACUGACGGUGAGGCGCGAAAGCGUGGGGAGCAAACAGGAUUAGAUACCCUUGUAGUC
rnacentral:rRNA from 1 species